AUGAACGCUGGCGGCGUGCCUAAUACAUGCAAGUCGCGCGAACGGACGAGAAGCUUGCUUUUCUGAUGUUAGCGGCGGACGGGUGAGUAACACGUGGAUAACCUACCUAUAAGACUGGGAUAACUUCGGGAAACCGGAGCUAAUAUCGGAUAAUAUUUUGAACCGCAUGGUUCAAAAGUGAAAGACGGUCUUGCUGUCACUUAUAGAUGGAUCCGCGCUGCAUUAGCUAGUUGGUAAGGUAACGGCUUACCAAGGCAACGAUGCAUAGCCGACCUGAGAGGGUGAUCGGCCACACUGGAACUGAGACACGGUCCAGACUCCUACGGGAGGCAGCAGUAGGGAAUCUUCCGCAAUGGGCGAAAGCCUGACGGAGCAACGCCGCGUGAGUGAUGAAGGUCUUCGGAUCGUAAAACUCUGUUAUUAGGGAAGAACAUAUGUGUAAGUAACUGUGCACAUCUUGACGGUACCUAAUCAGAAAGCCACGGCUAACUACGUG
rnacentral:rRNA from 1 species